UAAAACCAAGAGCGACGAAUGUUCAUUCCUUGGGUGAGCACUUUGCUUGCACAUCGAGAUUGCGUUUCUAUAUUUGCGGUUUCGGGUAUGUAAAGAUGUGAGCUGUACGUGAACAUUGGGUUCAUCUGGAGAGGCCUAAGCACCUUGCGUUCUGCCCCCAGCUUCCCUCAAAACUUCGGGGAAGUUGCUUCGCAUUUGCUUGGCAGUAAUUUGUUUCAGAAUAUAAGUAGCUGUUAGGCAUGAGGUUCACCGAUUCUGUCUGAUCAAUUCAUGGACCCUCAUCUAGGAAUGAAGAUCUUUCAGCGACUGGUCGGGGUUAUCUGUAACUAGAAAUCGAGCGUGCGCACGCUUGUGUAAAUAUGCAUGCAACUUGUGUGGACAGACUGACUAGUCUAGUGGUGUAGUGGAAAGUAUUAGUUGGUUGAUGCACGAUGUUGUUUUGCAACAAGUGACUCGUCGCUGCAAUACUGAACCCACAAGUUUUGGAAGUUGUUUUGAUUGGGGCCACCCACAUUGCUCGACUAGAUUCAGUAUGUCCAUUGCAGUUGCAUACAUAUGUGGAUGGCGUUCAGUGAACAACUUCGAUCAAGACUAUGUUUCAGAGCACCCCAGCUUCUUUAACUUCACUCGACAACACAAUAGAUGCGAGUUCGAUGGAUCCAACUGAGGGGCAUUGAUAGCUUGGAGCUAUUCGCAACUCAGAAAAUCACGUAUCCUCACGAGAGAGAAACGACAUACAGGUGCAGAAGAGAAUUAGGGAAGUCAAUUUGAUGCUAGUCUCAAAAAUUGUUAUCCCUAGUAUCACCUUGAGACAAACAGAAUGCAGAGUAAAAUAAACAGUUUUACAUCUGGUUUCUGCGCGGCAUUAAUGUAGCACAUCGUUUCCAUGUACUCUUGGCUGCCCUUUUGUUUUAUUGGUUGUUUCUCACAACAUCCCACCGAAUGUGACCAUCUAAACGGCUUGCCUAGUCGUCACUGUUUGUCUUAAGUGGACAACGAGGCUUGCCUCAUCUCAGUUUGACUAAUUUUCAGCAGUCUCAGGACCCAAAAUCGAAGCUGUGAUUUUAUGGUACAUUAACAUUGUAAUCUACCAUCAGCCCCCGAAAUGUAAUCGCGAACGUACUCAAUUAUAUGACUUGUGCGAUGAACUAUGUCUCAGAGGUGCAGGUGCCUGAAUGUAUUCAGCUAUGAUAUUCAUGCCCAAUUUUCAACUUCCAGCAGUUAAAAGAAUACAGUUUCCUACGGCACAGUAGAUUGAUUUCUAGCAAAAAGCAGAGACUUAGCGCCCUUGGAAAUUAAGUAAUAUAGUGUGCAGGCAUGGGAUAACUGAAAUAAUUCUUCAUAUAGAUUUUCUUUUUA